GAGAGCCAGGAAGAGAGAGCUUUGCCGGACUUGUGGACCAAGAUGCAAACGAUGCAAAAGCCAGGAUUCCAACGGAGUGUCCCGGUUGGUGGCAGUUGAGCUGACAGGGGGAGGGGCUGCUGGUCUCUGUGUCUCUGAUUGGAGGUUUGAAGCUGGCUGAAAGGACCUUAUGUUGGGGUCCGAGUGGAAGACCACCCCAAGGAGCACACGGAGACCAUGCAGUUCAGAACGGAAUGAUUGGAGAUCAGUGGCACUAAUGAUCCGAGCCUCAUCAGGAGAUGGAGAUGUACAGGAACAGUUAUGGAGCACGUACAAAGGGCCAGCAUCAAGCUGCUGCUUCCAAAGCAAAACGGCUCGAAGGUAUAACAAUGCUGCACCCGCUGUCCCUCACCGAGGCGGCUUCCACCGGCACUUUAUCUUCGAGGAUUCUAUUGGAGCCUGAUAAUUCCUUAGGCGAGCACUCUCCCCCACCAGAUAAGGUAGG
rnacentral:lncRNA from 1 species